rnacentral:rRNA from 1 species
UGGAUCCAGACUUUGAUUAUGGCUCAGGAUGAACGCUAGCUACAGGCUUAACACAUGCAAGUCGAGGGGAAACGACAUCGAAAGCUUGCUUUGAUGGGCGUCGACCGGCGCACGGGUGAGUAACGCGUAUCCAACCUGCCCAUCACUUGGGGAUAACCUUGCGAAAGUAAGACUAAUACCCAAUGAUAUCUCUAGAAGACAUCUGAAAGAGAUUAAGGAUUUAUCGGUGAUGGAUGGGGAUGCGUCUGAUUAGCUUGUUGGCGGGGUAACGCCCACCAAGGCGACGAUCAGUAGGGGUUCUGAGAGGAAGGUCCCCCACAUUGGAACUGAGACACGGUCCAAACUCCUACGGGAGGCAGCAGUGAGGAAUAUUGGUCAAUGGACGAGAGUCUGAACCAGCCAAGUAGCGUGCGGGAUGACGGCCCUAUGGGUUGUAAACUGCUUUUAUAAGGGAAUAAAGUGAGAGUCGUGACUCUUUUUGCAUGUACCUUAUGAAUAAGGACCGGCUAAUUCCGUGCCAGCAGCCGCGGUAAUACGGAAGGUCCGGGCGUUAUCCGGAUUUAUUGGGUUUAAAGGGAGCGUAGGCCGGAGAUUAAGCGUGUUGUGAAAUGUAGACGCUCAACGUCUGCACUGCAGCGCGAACUGGUUUCCUUGAGUACGCACAAAGUGGGCGGAAUUCGUGGUGUAGCGGUGAAAUGCUUAGAUAUCACGAAGAACUCCGAUUGCGAAGGCAGCUCACUGGAGCGCAACUGACGCUGAAGCUCGAAAGUGCGGGUAUCGAACAGGAUUAGAUACCCUGGUAGUCCGCACGGUAAACGAUGGAUGCCCGCUGUUGGU